GACAGAGGAUGCAAGCGUUAUCCGGAAUGAUUGGGCGUAAAGCGUCUGUAGGUGGCUUUUUAAGUCCGCCGUCAAAUCCCAGGGCUCAACCCCUGGACAGGCGGUGGAAACUACCAAGCUGGAGUACGGUAGGGGCAGGAGGGAAUUCCGGUGGAGCGGUGAAUGCGUAGAGAUCGGAAAGAACACCAACGGCGAAAGCACUCUGCUGGGCCGACACUGACACUGAGAGACGAAAGCUAGGGGAGCGAAUGGG
rnacentral:rRNA from 1 species